CUGGGAAGGACCCUGGGCUGAUGUGCAGUCUUACAGGGACUGCAUAUUGGCUUUUGCUGCACUGUUCAGAAAGUGUUUUUUUCCUCUUUGCCUUACUAUUGUCUCUGUCUGUUUGUCCUUGAUUUUAUCAACUGAGAAUGUGGCUAUGUGUUGUCUACAAAAGAUUUUUGAAUGACUGCCUUUUGGCCAGCUGGUUCUCUUGGCAUUUUGGUGCAGACUGGUGAGAAGAAAGGAGAAGGAAUUGGAUUCAGAACUCCAGAAAAUGAAGCCACCUCAUUUUUCAUCCCCUUUGAUUAACUCACUGAUUUAUUUGCUUGUAACAAUGACAAAUGACGCCACCAGCUGAUGCUAUCACAUUUGGCAGAGUCAGCUUGGUUUGAACUCAGCAAUUAAAGCCCUACAUGGGACAGAUUUAUAGAAAUGUUUCACAAACUGUUGGAGAAAAAAAAGUCUUUGUUAGACACAAGCUAAGUAGGAAUCUGUAAGGUUCUGAACAGCAAAAACAAAUAGCUAUCUUUAUUUAGAGCUCCUAAUUUCCACUAAUACUACUUCCUAUCAUGAUCACAGGACAUCUGUAAUUUACUCUCAUUGUAUUUUCAUCUGUUUUACUGUCAGUCUGAUCCUGUUCUUAUUAACACCAGUGUGAAUUGGAAGCACUUCCACAGAAAUUAACCACGCUGACUUUACACUAGCACAGCCUCCAGAGAGGCUUAAAAUGCUUUGAGCAGGCAGCUGUAGGCAGGCAGUUAGUUGCUGGAAGAGAAAUUUCACCUUUCACUUAAAAUCUGCUUCUUGCCUUCAUGGCUCUGAGGAGAGGCUCUGAACGUGAAAGGUUCAAACCAAGAAGGCAAAUGAGAACUCCAAAUAUAUUUAUCCCUUGUUGUUAUUAUUACUUCGGAGGCAGCUGGAAAGUGUCAUAAUUUUUUUAGUUUUUGAGGUCAGAUAUUACUAAAUGGCAGGGAAGUGGCUCCAGGUCACGUUACAUUCAUUAAUACCAACAACAGUUUUGUGCGCAGAGAUGUUCUGCCUGUAGGAUAAGCCCAAGCCUAUUCCCUUCCUGAAUCACACAUCUAAUGUGUUUCACAGCCAGCAGAGGAACAGAUAUUUCCAACUGCCCUGAACUACUUCAGGAGAGGUUCAGGUUGGAUAUUAGGAAAAAUUUCUUCUCCAAGUGGUGUUGCAUUGGAACAGGCUGCUCAGGGAAGUGGUGGAGUCACCAUUCCUGGAGGCAUUCAAGAAAAGGGCCAAUGUUGCAUUGAAUGACGUAGCCUAGAGCAGACACAGGCAUGGGUUGAUUGUUGGACUAGAUGUUCUUAUUGGUCUUUCCAACCUUAAUGAUCCCACAGACUCCACACCCAAAUGCUCAUGCCCCUGCAAGCUGCAGGACGUCUGGGGAGAUGGAGAGAAGUUCCAGGAGAGGCUCCUGGGGUGGCUUACCAGGAGGGAAGAAGGUUCUAUGGCACACAGCAGGGUGAGUACGAGAACAGCAUUUUCUUGCUUACCAUAGUGGAAAUGCUAAGUCACAGCUCGAACCAGUGGUUGAGCAUCUGGUGGGGAGGCAGGGCCAACCUGGGGGAGCUCAGGUGCAAGCAGUGCACUGAGUGACCACAAGGGGAGGAGCCAGGGUCCAGCCUCAUUUAAGGGUUGGCAGUGGAGGCAAGAGUCUCCAGGCACUGGAGAUCCCUGCCUACCAAAGGUCUUCUGUAGGAACAGAAACAAUUUCUGAUUUUACCCUUCUCCUCCAUGGAUAGUGAGCAUGGGAUUAGGACCGGCUGUUUGUGAGCUCCCUUUGUGUGUCAACCUGAGCUGCAGCAUCUUUUUUUGGCUGAGCUCCUCCAGCACUGGCUGCCUGCCCACUGUGGGCUGUCUCUGGGCAGGUUUGAGCAUCCCCUGUAAAAUAAUUUGGACCUUCAGCUUCCAGAAAUCUCUGCAGUGUCCUGAAGAUGGUAAACAUGCUGUGGGAUGGCUGGGCAUCGAAAGGAUCUGUCCCUCAGUAAAACUACCUUUGUAUUGGCAGGGGCAUUGGGAUUACACAACACAUCUUGGCUUCUUAAUUGUGAUUUUUCCAGCCUUCCUUCCCACCCACUGUGCCUGGGAUUACACCUGUCCUGGUGUACAUGUUCUACACUGCUGUGUUCCAGCUUGGAUGCUCUCCCUUAAAAACAAUUACUUCAUGUGUUGGGUCUAGUUAACACUCCUUUGCAGUGCUCAAGCUCACUGACCCUGCAGACGCUGAGUGUUAGCAGUUGAGCUCUAGUUGCCAUAUGUAACUCUCAUUACCUCAGUGUAGACAAGACCUGUUUACACCUUUAGAGCUUUAAAAUCUUUGAAGCGAAUCAGCUGUGGGAGGCUUGAUAGCAAUUCUUUUUUUCCUUCCCAAUGAUGCUGAGUACCAGUAUGUGCCUAUAACUUCACUGGAGCUAUGGGAGAUGGACACCUGUGGAAGCUCAGACAACUUUUUGCCCUCCUCUGCCCUGCUGAAAUCAUCACUGCAAACACAGCCAGGUCUUUGUGGAUUUUCUUCAUUUCAGAUGCGAAGGUGACUGACCAGCUGUUGUUUGAGUACUGCAGAGACCUUUGGAGAACCAUACGUGUUCAGCUGGGGAUGAAGGGCUAAAUUCAGACCACUUGUGCUCUUGGCAUGCUACUCGCCCUCAUCAGUGCUGUGUUUGCUUUAGAAGUCUGACUUAGCUGGCAUGUCUCCGUUGUUGGCUAAUGAGGAUUAAUUCUGAUUCUCUUCAGGCUUCAGAGAAACAGAUUGUGGAGGGGCUUUCAUCACAGGGGGAAUUAAGGAAGCUAGCGAAGUAUCUUAACCCAAACCACACCACUGAUGGCUUUCAGUCAGAAAGGAGGACAGAUGAGAUUAACCUCAAAACCCCUCUGCUUCCUUGUGGGGACUAUAAACCCCAGUGCCAAGUGAGAGAAGAAUGCAGGAAAAGAAUCAUUUUAAUGUGGAUGUGUAAGAAACUGGACCACCAAGUCCAUUCCACAUUGGCCACUGAGCAGUCAUCAGAGGGUGUUGACUUUUGACCACUACUGUUUUUGUUAACAAGGAAAAUAAAACCAUAUGUUGCCUAAGUAGAUGCACAAAACUUUUCUCCAAAUCCCUACAGACAAACUGUCAGCAGCAAAAGUAU